rnacentral:rRNA from 1 species
CCAGUACCGUGAGGGAAAGGCGAAAAGAACCCCGGAGAGGGGAGUGAAAUAGAACCUGAAACCGUAUGCGUACAAGCAGUGGGAGCCUACUUUGUUAGGUGACUGCGUACCUUUUGUAUAAUGGGUCAGCGACUUAUAUUCAGUGGCGAGCUUAACCGAAUAGGGGAGGCGUAGCGAAAGCGAGUCUUAAUAGGGCGUUUAGUCGCUGGGUAUAGACCCGAAACCGGGCGAUCUAUCCAUGGGCAGGUUGAAGGUUAGGUAACACUGACUGGAGGACCGAACCGACUACCGUUGAAAAGUUAGCGGAUGACCUGUGGAUCGGAGUGAAAGGCUAAUCAAGCUCGGAGAUAGCUGGUUCUCCUCGAAAGCUAUUUAGGUAGCGCCUCAUGUAUCACUGUAGGGGGUAGAGCACUGUUUCGGCU